GACGGAAGGUGCAAGCGUUGUUCGGAAUUACUGGGCGUAAAGGGCGCGUAGGCGGCCUUCUAAGUCAGACGUGAAAUCCCCGGGCUCAACCCGGGAACUGCGUCUGAUACUGGAAGGCUUGAAUCCGGGAGAGGGAUGUGGAAUUCCAGGUGUAGCGGUGAAAUGCGUAGAUAUCUGGAGGAACACCGGUGGCGAAGGCGGCAUCCUGGACCGGUAUUGACGCUGAGGCGCGAAAGCCAGGGGAGCAAACGGG
rnacentral:rRNA from 1 species